UACGAAGGACCCAAGCGUUAUCCGGAUUUAUUGGGUUUAAAGGGUGCGUAGGCGGAUUAUUAAGUCAGUGGUGAAAGCUCUCGGCUCAACCGGGAAAUUGCCAUUGAUACUGAUAGUCUUGAGUAUGAUUGAGGUGGGCGGAAUGUGUCAUGUAGCGGUGAAAUGCUUAGAUAUGACACAGAACACCGAUUGCGAAGGCAGCUCACUAAGUCAUAACUGACGCUGAUGCACGAAAGCGUGGGGAGCAAACAGG
rnacentral:rRNA from 1 species